rnacentral:rRNA from 1 species
GACGAACGCUGGCGGCGUGCUUAACACAUGCAAGUCGAACGAAGAGCGAUGGAAGCUUGCUUCUAUCAAUCUUAGUGGCGAACGGGUGAGUAACGCGUAAUCAACCUGCCCUUCAGAGGGGGACAACAGUUGGAAACGACUGCUAAUACCGCAUACGAUCUGACCUCGGCAUCGAGGAUAGAUGAAAGGUGGCCUCUACAUGUAAGCUAUCACUGAAGGAGGGGAUUGCGUCUGAUUAGCUAGUUGGAGGGGUAACGGCCCACCAAGGCGAGGAUCAGUAGGCGGUCUGAGAGGAUGAACGGCCACAUUGGGACUGAGACACGGCCCAGACUCCUACGGGAGGCAGCAGUGGGGAAUCUUCCGCAAUGGACGAAAGGCUGACGGAGCAACGCCGCGUGAGUGAUGACGGCCUUCGGGUUGUAAAGCUCUGUUAAUCGGGACGAAAGGCCUUUUUGCGAGUAGUGAGAAGGAUUGACGGUACCGGAAUAGAAAGCCACGGCUAACUACGUG